UAGAACAUCUCAGCGUUCUAUUGAAGGUUUUCUGUUCGAAAACAAGAACAACUUCAAUUUGCUGUUUAACAACAACAAAGUUGACUGAUUUGUGAGACCUGAGAUUGAAAAAUCGACUGGAAAAUGCCUGGGUGCUUUUCAAGGGUUCGCGAUCAUCGGGAGGUGGACAGCGACUUUGAAGAGGAAUCAAAUGUACUGGAUGAGGUCCAGUUGGAUGUGCCACUGCUGCCAGUCAUCCUUGAUGUCCAGGAUGCUGCUAUCAUCCUUGAGGAUGGGCCAGAUGUGCCGACUUUCCUUGAGAACAAUGCCAGUCCGCUGGCUAAAGCUUGGAGGACUUUCCAUUUCAUCAGCCCCAUUAUCACCUACAUGCGUGGUGGAUCCCAGGUGGUGGUGAGGAUGCACCAUGUAAGUAGGGUUCGAGGCCUGGAGACUCAACUGGUGUGGUACAUCUCCAGGGAGACAGCCAGACUUAGUCUAGAGGGCAUCCCCUACUGUGCCAACAAGGUGCAGUCCAUCACUUGGAUCCUGUAUGUGGCUGGGAGGGUGACCCAGUAUGCAUCUCACCUCCACCAUGAGACGUCUGUGGACGUGACAUUUGACUGUUACCGGCAGACUGAUGUCUCGGUGGUGUACACCAUUCUCCACAUGGGACUGGAUGGGCUGCUCUCCUCCUCGGCGUGGUCGGAGGCUGCCUCCGUCUCUACGCCCACCAAUCAGCAGUUCACUGAGCCAGAGCCUGAGGGCCACAACUGCUAUGAGGUCAGAUGUUAG
rnacentral:lncRNA from 8 species